GUUUUGUGUGUGUGUGUGUGUGUGUGUGUGUGUGUGUGUGUGUUUUAAUCAAGGCUCUUCUUUGUCUUAUGUUUCACUAUGGAAAGAGAAGCCCCAGGAUCAGGGAGGCAGGCCUGAUGCUCCCUUCUGGUAGCAGAACAGAAUUAGAGGGAGAGGAGGAGAUGGUUUGCGGCUUGCUUUCUUCUGGCCCAGAGACAUCCCAGAAUUUAGCCAACAAGCAAUUCCACUGGGCUAUACAAAUAUUAUGGGAUACAAUGUUUUCAGAAGAAUUAAAAUUAUAAACAAAAACAAUGGAAGAUCAAACAGGAAACUUCUUCUUUUAGAAAAUGCAUUUUAUUGAUGAUAAAAAGACAAGAAGAAUCUUAUUGUCACUUUCCAAUGACACUCCACCAUGCCCCC
rnacentral:lncRNA from 1 species